GAUGAACGCUGACAGAAUGCUUAACACAUGCAAGUCAACUUGAAUUUGGGUUUUUACCUUAGGUUUGGGUGGCGGACGGGUGAGUAACGCGUAAAGAACUUGCCUCACAGCUAGGGACAACAUUUGGAAACGAAUGCUAAUACCUAAUAUUAUGAUAAUAGGGCAUCCUAUAAUUAUGAAAGCUAUAAGCGCUGUGAGAGAGCUUUGCGUCCCAUUAGCUAGUUGGAGAGGUAACGGCUCACCAAGGCGAUGAUGGGUAGCCGGCCUGAGAGGGUGAUCGGCCACAAGGGGACUGAGACACGGCCCUUACUCCUACGGGAGGCAGCAGUGGGGAAUAUUGGACAAUGGACCAAGAGUCUGAUCCAGCAAUUCUGUGUGCACGAUGAAGUUUUUCGGAAUGUAAAGUGCUUUCAGUUGGGAAGAAGGAAAUGACGGUACCAACAGAAGAAGUGACGGCUAAAUACGUG
rnacentral:rRNA from 1 species